GUUGCAAUCGCAGACGAGUGCGUUGCUGUCGAGGCGCAGUCGUGUCAUCGGGCCAACGUUGAGGAACGCGUCGGCCGGCAGCUGGUGCAGUCGAUUGUUUUGAAGGAAGAGCCGUUCCAAUGCCGGCAGAUCGUUGAACGUGCCAGGUAGAGCACACGCAGAUUCGGAGCGCCGUCGAAGGCGCCCGCCGCUAGCUGCCGAAUACGAUUGUCGUUCAGCAGCAGGGUGUCCAGCUGACCGAGCCCGUGGAACGUUCCCGGGCGUACUUCCGCGAUGUGGUUGAAUCGGAGGUCCCUGAAAACAAUCCGUCGUCUCGCAUAGGUAUCGAUCAGAAAGAACAUCUAUCUUACUUGAACUUCAAGAUGGUAACAAACGAAUGGCGCGCAAUCAAGGCUCGCCGCGCGUGCCUCGAUAAAUUACUUCGAUUCCUUGGCCGUCCGUUGAAACAACUUUGGGAAAUGCGGACGAGGAAAAAGAUCCUCGACCUGCGGGGGUUGAAGAAGCGCGCCGUACAACACAAUGGGAGGACGAAGAACGGCACACUGGCGAUGCACUCGGGGCAGCAUCCAACGAUAGCCUCCACUUCGCGCGCAAUUACUUGGUUUUUGUUCGCCCCCGGAGGACGGGUUCCUCGUGGUCUGUUUUCAGGCUGCGGCAAAGCGGAUCCCGUUUUGCCGCACGGCUGCGAGGGAGCGAGAGAGACAGCGAGAGAUUUCCGCUCUUUGUUCGCUCUGUCCCCGCUGUCGUCCAGCUCGUCCUUGCGCCGCUACGUCGUCCGUAAACGCGAAGGGGCGUAGAGAAGAGUAUCGUCGCGAUCAAUUUGCAUCGCGAUAUCGAAUAUCGAUUGCGCAAUUGGUCACGAUGUAACGCGACGUUACGACGGGCGGAUCGAUCGCCGCGCGAUUCAUUCUCGGCUGACAAUCGUACGGGAGGUAAUUAUCGUUACAUAACAAUAACAAAUGCGCGACGUCGAUCGGGCAGAAACGUCGGCCGUAAUGCCGGCGAUAAUUUUGCCAUGUAACGGACGAUUGUGUUAUUCAACUGCAUCGCGAGUUCACCUCUGCGUGUCUUAUGAAUGCGACACCCAAGCAGCACAGGAAUAUUCUAUAAAUUUUCCAUGAAUAUUCAUCAAGUAUUUGUAUAUUCUAUGAAUGCGCCAAAAACACUGUUAUAUUUUCAUAGUAUGUUGAUAGUUUGAAUGAUAUAACUAUAAAAUGUUCUAUGAAUGUGCACAGAAUAUACGUAAAACGUAGCUUAAUCACAUUGAUUUUGCUUUUACAAUUAUAAAGGAAUAAUUCAAGUAUUUCGAUACGUAUCAUUACCAAGCUGUAAACAAGUAUUGCUAAUUACAUUAGGAAAACUUUACAGUUACAUGAAUAUAUUGCACAUUGCGCAGUAAAAUCAACCUUACGAUUGUUCAGAGCACAUUGUUUUCUAUUAUAAUGUAUCCAUAGAAUUCGAUUCGAAUAUUACGGAAUUAAAAAUAUUUGUAUUUCCUAAGAAUAUUUAUAGAAUAUUUUUUGCUAUUUGGGUAGUGGCAAUUCUCACUCAAUUGAAUACCAUCAGAUUCACUGCACAGAACAAAAUUAAAAUUAACAAUUAAUGUUUCGUAUCUAAACAAUGAUAAAUAAUUUUCAUGUUAAAAGAAUUUUUAGGUUUCGAAUUUCGACACACAAUAUUAUUUGAAUAUUAUAAUUGAUAAUUAAAUAAAUCGUAAUGAUCCUCUUCCAACAUUUAAAAAAACAUCAUAUUCUCAAUCCAAUAUUUUGCUUUCUAUUUAUUACAAUUAUUUUUUUAUAACAAGAAUAUAUUUUUUUUUUAUUGAAUCUCAUAUACACAUAUACAAAAUGUAUUGAUAUAAAUCCCUUUGUUUAACGUUAUGUAAUUUUAUUUUAAGAGAUUUAGACAUGUCAAUAAAAAUAAAGAUUUCAAAACA